GUAACAAGGUUUCCGUAGGUGAACCUGCGGAAGGAUCAUUACCGAGUGAGGGCCCUCUGGGUCCAACCUCCCACCCGUGUUUUCCGAACCCUGUUGCUUCGGCGGGCCCGCCUCACGGCCGCCGGGGGGCUUCCGCCCCCGGGCCCGCGCCCGCCGAAGACACCUGUGAACGCUGUCUGAAGUUGCAGUCUGAGAAACUAGCUAAAUUAGUUAAAACUUUCAACAACGGAUCUCUUGGUUCCGGCAUCGAUGAAGAACGCAGCGAAAUGCGAUAACUAAUGUGAAUUGCAGAAUUCAGUGAAUCAUCGAGUCUUUGAACGCACAUUGCGCCCUCUGGUAUUCCGGAGGGCAUGCCUGUCCGAGCGUCAUUGCUGCCCUCAAGCACGGCUUGUGUGUUGGGCCCCCGCCCCCCCCCGCGCUGGGGGGGCGGGCCCGAAAGGCAGCGGCGGCACCGCGUCCGGUCCUCGAGCGUAUGGGGCUUCGUCACCCGCUCUUGUAGGCCCGGCCGGCGCCAGCCGACCCCCCUCAAUCUAUUUUUUCAGGUUGACCUCGGAUCAGGUAGGGAUACCCGCUGAACUUAAGCAUAUC
rnacentral:misc_RNA from 1 species